AGUGAACGCUGGCGGUAGGCCUAACACAUGCAAGUCGAACGGCAGCACAGUAAGAGCUUGCUCUUACGGGUGGCGAGUGGCGGACGGGUGAGGAAUACAUCGGAAUCUACUUUUUCGUGGGGGAUAACGUAGGGAAACUUACGCUAAUACCGCAUACGACCUACGGGUGAAAGCAGGGGAUCUUCGGACCUUGCGCGAUUGAAUGAGCCGAUGUCGGAUUAGCUAGUUGGCGGGGUAAAGGCCCACCAAGGCGACGAUCCGUAGCUGGUCUGAGAGGAUGAUCAGCCACACUGGAACUGAGACACGGUCCAGACUCCUACGGGAGGCAGCAGUGGGGAAUAUUGGACAAUGGGCGCAAGCCUGAUCCAGCCAUACCGCGUGGGUGAAGAAGGCCUUCGGGUUGUAAAGCCCUUUUGCUGGGAAAGAAAAGCAGCAGGUUAAUACCCCGCUGUUCUGACGGUACCCAAAGAAUAAGCACCGGCUAACUUCGUA
rnacentral:rRNA from 1 species